CUUUCCUGAAGCUGCCUUUCUCAGAAAGGCAAUUAUUUGGCUAGUUACAGGAUUUGGUCCCAUUUAUAGACUUCAGAUGGAUGUGUAAACUUUUGGAUGUCUGUGUAUGCAUUAAAGGCGACCCCACACUCACCCCCAGUCCUGAAGAUGGGUCCCACCUGAAACGUCGCAACUCCUGAUGCUACCUGGCUUGUUGUGUUCUUCCAGCCUCCUGCCUGUCUACAUCAGCUAUGUUAAGGCUUCUUCAUCAGAACAGCAUAUCAAACGCAGCAAGCUUUGAGACAGCUAAACCCUGGAACCUGCAACAACCAUUCCUGUCCCUGCU